UACGUAGGGUGCAAGCGUUAAUCGGAAUUACUGGGCGUAAAGCGUGCGCAGGCGGUUUUGUAAGUCUGACGUGAAAUCCCCGGGCUUAACCUGGGAAUGGCCGUUGAAACUGGCGAACUGGAGUGUGGCAGAGGGGGGUGGAAUUCCGCGUGUAGCAGUGAAAUGCGUAGAGAUGCGGAGGAACACCGAUGGCGAAGGCAGCCCCCUGGGCUAACACUGACGCUCAGGCACGAAAGCGUGGGGAGCAAACAGG
rnacentral:rRNA from 1 species